AUCGCUUCUCGGACUUUUGGCUAAGAUCAAGUGUAGUAUCUGUUCUUAUCGGUUUAAUAUCUGAAAUGGCUCCUAUCUGGGGACCAUAUAUUAAAUUGAUUUUGGGCACGGAGACGGAGAUGGAAUAGGGGCUUGCUCCUUCCGCUCCACGCAUCGACCCGGUAUUGCAGUCCAUCCGGUAGCGGUGCACCCCAU